rnacentral:rRNA from 1 species
AUUGAACGCUGGCGGCAGGCCUAACACAUGCAAGUCGAGCGGAAUCAGGUGGCUUGCUACCUGAUUCAGCGGCGGACGGGUGAGUAAUGCCUAGGAAUCUGCCUGGUAGUGGGGGACAACGUUUCGAAAGGAACGCUAAUACCGCAUACGUCCUACGGGAGAAAGUGGGGGAUCUUCGGACCUCACGCUAUCAGAUGAGCCUAGGUACGAUUAGCUAGUUGGUGAGGUAAAGGCUCACCAAGGCGACGAUCGUUAACUGGUCUGAGAGGAUGAUCAGUCACACUGGAACUGAGACACGGUCCAGACUCCUACGGGAGGCAGCAGUGGGGAAUAUUGGACAAUGGGCGAAAGCCUGAUCCAGCCAUGCCGCGUGCGUGAAGAAGGUCUUCGGAUUGUAAAGCACUUUAAGUUGGGAGGAAGGGCAGUAAGUUAAUACCUUGCUGUUUUGACGUUACCGACAGAAUAAGCACCGGCUAACUUCGUGCCAGCCGCCGCAGUAAAAC